AAAAGGGCUUUAUUUAAAGCCAUAAACAUUAUUCUCCAAGGCUUGU
rfam:Anas platyrhynchos breed Pekin duck contig50882, whole genome shotgun sequence.